rnacentral:other from 1 species
UAGCCCCUGCGGUGUUGGUGAUUGGCAGCACGUUCUUGAGCCAACAUUUGAAGAACGGGGACCCUUCCUUGGAACGGUGUGUCGCGUCGUCUUGUACGAAGCGCCUAAAGGACCAACAGGGACCCCACCUGGUCGAACCAGGUUCAAAACAGACUGCCAACACGGCACGCUUGCGGGGGAUUU